UUGGUUUUGGAUUGCUGUACCCCUCCCUUUUGUGGGCCAUUUGCAAAGGGCAGCCUUUCUCAACUGCAUCUGACAGAACACUUUGAUAGGACUCAGGUCAAGAUGGCAGAGUAAGAAGACACGGAACUCCCCUCCCCUCAUGAACACGUCAAAAAUACACCUACAUGUGGAACAAUUCUCACUGAAAACCAACUGGAGACUGGCGGAAAGACUCCUGUACCACCAAGGCUGUCAGAAAGAUCCACUUGGAAUCAACCCCACCUCCUACCAAGGUGAUAGCUGCCAACAUACCCCAAGGAAAAGCAUGACUGGUGUUUACAUCAAAGCUGACUCUCCCACCAAAGCCACUGGGCACACACAGACUUUAUAGGGACACACCCACAUAAGGAACCCCUUCAAGACUGCAAUAGCUAACUCUUUCACCUAAUUUCAAGAGACAGAGAAAGUUAAGCAAAAUGAGAAGAUAGAGGAAUUUCUCUCAAUUGAAAGAGCAAGAGAAAAUCCUUGGAAAAGCAACUAAUGAAGCAGAAAUAAACAAUUUAACAGACAAAGGAUUUGAAGCAUUAAUAAUAAGACUGCUAACUGAA